GUGCCGUAGCAAACGCGUUAAGUAUCCCGCCUGGGAAGUACGAUCGCAAGAUUGAAACUCAAAGGAAUUGGCGGGCACCCCGCACAAGCGGUGGAGCGCGUGGUUUAAUUCGACGACAAUCGAAGAACCUUACCAAGGCUUGACAUGUACCUGCACGCCUCUCGAAAGAGAGGAAUCCUUCGAGGGUGGUACACAGGUGCUGCAUGGCCGUCGUCAGCUCGUGUCGUGAGAUGUAGGGUUAAGUCCCGAAACGAGCGCAACCCUUAUCCCAUGUUACAAGUGUCUUGGGAAACUGCCUCGGUGAAACGGGGAGGAAGGUGGGGAUGACGUCUGGUCCUCAUGGCCCUUAUGUCUUGGGCGACACACGCGCUGCAAUGGUCGGUACAAUGGGCUUGCCAAACCGUAAGGUGGAGCGAAUCCCAUCAAAGCCGAUCUCAGUUCGGAUUG
rnacentral:rRNA from 1 species